rfam:Schistosoma curassoni strain Dakar, Senegal genome assembly, scaffold: SCTD_contig0008206
AUCCAGUCGGUGAGUCCCAAAUAGGACGAAACGCGCGUCCUUGAU